AACGAACGCUGGCGGCAGGCCUAACACAUGCAAGUCGAACGCCCCGCAAGGGGAGUGGCAGACGGGUGAGUAACACGUGGGAACCUUCCCAACAGUACGGAAUAGCCCAGGGAAACUUGGAGUAAUACCGUAUAUUCCCGAGAGGGGAAAGAUUUAUCGCUGUUGGAUGGGCCCGCGUCGGAUUAGCUAGUUGGUGAGGUAACGGCUCACCAAGGCGACGAUCCGUAGCUGGUUUGAGAGAAUGACCAGCCACACUGGGACUGAGACACGGCCCAGACUCCUACGGGAGGCAGCAGUGGGGAAUCUUGGACAAUGGGCGCAAGCCUGAUCCAGCCAUGCCGCGUGAGUGACGAAGGCCUUAGGGUUGUAAAGCUCUUUUGCCGGGGACGAUAAUGACGGUACCCGGAGAAUAAGUCCCGGCUAACUUCGUGCCAGCAGCCGCGGUAAGAC
rnacentral:rRNA from 1 species